AACGAACGCUGGCGGCAUGCCUAACACAUGCAAGUCGAACGAGACCUUCGGGUCUCGUGGCGCAAGGGUGCGUAACGCGUGGGAACCUGCCCUUAGGUUCGGAAUAACUCCCCGAAAGGGGUGCUAAUACCGGAUAAUGUCUUCGGACCAAAGAUUUAUCGCCUGUGGAUGGGCCCGCGUUGGAUUAGCUAGUUGGUAGGGUAAAAGCCUACCAAGGCGACGUUCCAUAGCUGGUCUGAGAGGAUGAUCAGCCACACUGGGACUGAGACACGGCCCAGACUCCUACGGGAGGCAGCAGUGGGGAAUAUUGGACAAUGGGCGAAAGCCUGAUCCAGCAAUGCCGCGUGAGUGAUGAAGGCCUUAGGGUUGUAAAGCUCUUUUACCCGGGAUGAUAAUGACAGUACCUGGAGAAUAAGCACCGGCUAACUCCGUG
rnacentral:rRNA from 1 species